AUGUACUGCAUGUAUGGGUGUGGGUGAUCAGUCCAGGCAGUGAUCGGGAACAGCGAUGAGCAUAUCACAUGCAGCUUCUUCUUAGAGAAAGGACACGGCACUACUGGAGUUUAGACAAUGGGGUCUUCUGGUACAACUAUUGAAGCUGUACCCAGAACAGAAAUCAUAUGGACUUCCAGGGCACAGACCUAAGCAGAGCGAACUACAACAUCUGAAUGAGCUACAACAUCUCCUACAACUUUGACAAAUCACACAGCAAUUUUUCAGUCUACAGGAUGAAUAGCAUCAACACAGAAUGAUGAGGCGUCAGUCCUGUCAAACUAAUCUGAUCGAUGUCUAGAAGCAGAAAGUAAGUUCCAUGUAGGACCAAGAAAAUUAUGUGGAUUUGAUACUGUGCCACAAAAAAAGCAUAUAUCUGAAAGUGUGUCUCUCUAUAUUGGUUGUACGAUUGCUGAUCCAUCCUCCCACAGGUUGUUUUUAAUUAGUGUAAUAUAUAGCUGAGUCUCUUCCUACUCAUUGGAGGUCUUCUGGCAUAGAGCGAGAUAACAUGUUGUGUGGCCUUCUGACAUAGAGGUACAACUGACAUAUAUGUGUGUUUUGCUCUCCCUGAAUUUAGAUGCCCAUUAGUGAUGAGCGGUAGGGGUAAUAUCCGAAUUUGCGAUAUUUCGCAAAUAUUUGGGCGAAUACUCAUAAUAAAUUUGCGAAUUCGCCAUUAUUUUCUUG